rnacentral:lncRNA from 1 species
CUGGUUAGCCGUGGGGCAGAAACUCRGUGCCGGCUGGCCUCAGGACACGGCGCCGGCGGCUGCCGCAGCGGGAGGCAGCGCAAGAAAAGYGAGAAAAGGGAAGCGUCAGCUCGGAGCAAAAGAAGCCCCAAAAGUCAAUCCUGGGCCGCCAUUUCUCAGGACUCCAGCCACAGAGGACAUGCUGGACUUAGCCUUCACCUUUUAAAGACACUGAUGGGACGUGUCUGAAGAGGUCCCCGACCCUCACUUUGAGGGCAAAAGAAAGAAACAGAGCAUCUUUCCCCUGCCUCGCUGCUCUCGGCCAAAAUCUGAGCCAAACUCCUACGAAAAGUGCAAAAAACCCUCCCGUUCUGUGGYGUAGUUUUUCUUUUGUUUUUCGCAGUAAGGGAAUUGCCGCUGUUUCGACUACAGGCAGAUGAACAGCAAGUACGCUGUGCCUUUGAAAGCCCAGACGUCGACCCACACAAGAUAUACAUAGUAGUAACAGCAAGGGUUUACACGUGUCGCAGCAAUGGCAAGAGUCAAGUGGAAGAGCACCAGCAUCCAGUCCGUGGCAGAGGAAACGAGGAACAGGAACGUGYGCUCAAAAUAGGUUUGCUUACAGAAACCAGGCAAGCAGAGCGGCACAGCUGGCUAGCUCAGCCCUUGCUUCCUUUCCCAGGCCUUCCCCGAGCAGGUCCGCGGCAGGGGUGCGGACCCACGGAGACACACGUACGAGCCCAAUUAGCGCGCAGGAGCUUAGCGCAUCCCCUGGGAUGAGGCCUGGCAUGCUGCAAGAAUAUUUUGAAUAUUUUGAAAAUCCACUGGCAGAGAGAAAGCCCAAAAUUUAAGUGGGGAAGAUGAAAAAAAGCCCUGGAAAACAACAAACUGCAAUAAAUCUACGAUGCCUGGCA